rnacentral:rRNA from 1 species
UACGUAGGGUGCGAGCGUUUGUCCGGAAUUAUUGGGCGUAAAGGGCUCGUAGGCGGUUUGUCGCGUCGGGAGUGAAAACUCAGGGCUUAACCCUGAGCCUGCUUCCGAUACGGGCAGACUAGAGGUAUGCAGGGGAGAACGGAAUUCCUGGUGUAGCGGUGAAAUGCGCAGAUAUCAGGAGGAACACCGGUGGCGAAGGCGGGUCUCUGGGCAGUAACUGACGCUGAGGAGCGAAAGCGUGGGGAGCGAACAGG